rnacentral:sRNA from 1 species
UGGCGGUAUCCUACUAUCUACCAAAGAACGACAUCAAAGAAUGUACUAAAGCCAGGAUAAAGGACGCUGGAUGGUCAACAAACUCAACCAACAGAUCUACUUUAAUUUAUUUGGAAUAAUUUUCAAAGUUUAAAAUAAUGGUUAUUUAAGAAAAAUUCCCCAAAAUUUUAACAUUUAAGUUUAUAUGUUUUUCUCAUAUCUUUAGACAAAGCUCUUAUUUUUACAGAAAUAUAUACUGUUUAAAAAUGUUCACAAUCAUCCAUCCCUAAAAACUUCUUUUGGAGAAAUCUAAAAUUUUAAUAUCAUCCCCUAAAACAGUCCGACGACCAGAGAGUUUUCUGACAACUUACUGUUAAAUAUGCAGUUAGACACUCUGUGAGACCACUACAAAUGGACGAAGAUUUUGUUAAAUUAGGCUGGACUUGAUAUAGGACUUACAUAACUUCUUUGCAACAGAGAUGUUCUUUUAUAUCCAUAUUUGCGAAGAACAUCAUAUCUAUGAAUCAUAUUGAUGCAUGGACGUUGACAAAAUCAUUAGUCACGGACAACGUGUGUCAGUGUAAUGGCGUGAAAAGCAUCCUAGUAUUUGAGCUUUAAAAUGUAAAUAUUAUCUAAUACAUUUAUUGUAUCUUUAUACAGAGAUCUUCUUCUAAAGGAGAUAAAUAUGGUAUAAAAUUGUCACGCAUCCAUGCAUCUAGCUCUCUUUAAUCUUGAUAAAGACUCUUCCUUACAUUUUUGAAAUUUAAUCUUUCUUUUCGAUUAACUCUUUUUUGUACAUGCUAAUGAGAAGUUAUGAGUAGUUUUUGUGUUUCUUUGUGUUAUUGUAUUGUUUAAUAUGUAUGUACAUGUAAAACCGUUUUGAAUUAAAAAUCAUUAGAUCGAUUCAUGCAGACCUAUGCUGCAGAUAUAUCCAAACUAUUGUAUAUACAUGUAUAUAUGUAAUAAGUGAAUGUAUUAAUUGUAUAUUCCAUGCAAACUCGAGAUAAAAAAAAUCUAAAAUGCGUGAUGGCUUGUUUGACAACUGGUCAUAACAUAUACUAUAUUAUAGCAUGCACUUUUUAUUUGUCAGUCAUUUACUUUUCAAGAAACCAUUAAAUUGAGAGUUUCCUCAAAUUC